rnacentral:rRNA from 1 species
UACGUAGGGACCAAGCGUUGUUCGGAUUUACUGGGCGUAAAGGGCGCGUAGGCGGCGCGGUAAGUCACUUGUGAAAUCUCUGAGCUUAACUCAGAACGGCCAAGUGAUACUGCAGUGCUAGAGUGUGGAAGGGGCAAUCGGAAUUCUUGGUGUAGCGGUGAAAUGCGUAGAGAUCCGGAAGAACACCGGUGGCGAAGGCGGUUAGCUGGGCAGUUGCUGACACUGAGGCGCGACAGCGUGGGGAGCAAACAGG